AAUUUUCGGCAAUGGGGGCAACCCUGACCGAGCGACGCCGCGUGAGUGAAGAAGGUCUUCGGAUUGUAAAGCUCUGUUGUAAGGGAAGAACCGUACCAGCAGGGAAUGACUGGUACCUGACGGUACCUUACCAGCAAGCCACGGAUAACCACGUGCCAGCAGCCGCGGUAAUACGGAGGUGGCAAGCGUUAUCCGGAAUUAUUGGGCGUAAAGGGGGCGCAGGCGGCUUAUUAAGUCUGAGGUUAAAGUUCGGGGCUCAACCCCGUGAUGCCUUAGAAACUGGUAGGCUAGAGUGCAGGAGAGGUGAGUGGAAUUCCAUGUGUAGCGGUAAAAUGCGUAGAUAUAUGGAGGGACACCAGUGGCGAAGGCGGCUCACUAGCCUGUAACUGACGCUGAGGCUCGAAAGCGUGGGGAGCAAAUA
rnacentral:rRNA from 1 species